GUUGUGCUUUCAGUUUUGUUUUGAUUCUCAGAUUGGUUUUGACAAGUCAUUUUCUUCAAGCUCUGUUAUAGUUUUGAAUGAUACAAAUUUAUCUCCCACAUAUUCAUGUUGCCAGGAUUCUUCGAGUACUUUUGCUGAGAUUUGAUUGAACGCUUCGUUCCAAAAAUUCAAUAUUUUUUCCUGUUUUGUAUAUCCCAAAAUCAUCAGCAAACUGUCCACAAUCUGUAUCUUGUAAAGUUGAUGGAAGAUCAUUUACAAAAAUGAGAUAGAAAUAAGGAGACAGAAUUGAACCUUGACUAAGUCCUCGUAUCGGAUGCCUUGCUGCAAAUUUUAUUCCACCAUGGUAUUGCAUUUUUCGAUAAAGCAAUCACAUUUUGUGGAGUACAUGAUGUGACGCUGAGAAUUAUGCCCUGACACAGGUUUGUAUUAAAAAGUUCAACGUCAUCGUUUAUUGUUGAACCAUUUAUGUGAUUGAAGCUUUCAAUUUUAUAUUUUUCCCAGUCUGUUCUUUUAGUCGAGAUGUAUGGUUGCCUUGUUGCCUUUGAAGUGUUUUUAUAUGAGUUCAAUGACAUCCAGAUUAAAUUAUGGUCACUUGCUAAAUUUUCAUGUAAUAUCUCCAUCAUGCAUAAGUGGGCAAUGUCUUUCGUUGUUAUGCAUAAAUCAAUGACAGAGCUUUCAUUCCCAUUUCCCACUCUUGUAGGCAUUUCAUCAUUUAAAAUAACUAAUUCAUGGCUUUCAAUGAAUGACUGUAGAACCUGUCCUCUUGAAUUUGUCUGUGAACAAUGCCAAAUAGUGUUUUGGGCAUUGAAAUCUCCACAUAUGAUUACUUUUUGUCUGUGUAUAUUAAG